rnacentral:rRNA from 1 species
GACAGAGGUGCCAAGCGUUUAGGCGGAAUCACUGGGCUUAAAGCGUGUGUAGGCGGAUCGUUAAGUACCUUGUGAAAUCCCACGGCUCAACCGUGGAACUGCUCGGUAUACUGGCGGUCUUGAGCCACCUAGGGGCAACUGGAACAAGCGGUGGAGCGGUGAAAUGCGCAGAUAUCAGGAAGAACACCCGUGGCGAAGGCGGUUCUCUGGAACGCAACUGACGCUGAGACGCGAAAGCGUGGGGAGCAAACAGG